rnacentral:rRNA from 1 species
UGGGAAUCUGCCCUUGGGUUCGGGAUAACAGUUGGAAACGACUGCUAAUACCGGAUGAUGUCUUCGGACCAAAGAUUUAUCGCCCAGGGAUGAGCCCGCGUCGGAUUAGCUAGUUGGUGGGGUAAAAGCCUACCAAGGCAACGAUCCGUAGCUGGUCUGAGAGGAUGAUCAGCCACACUGGGACUGAGACACGGCCCAGACUCCGUACGGGAGGCAG